rnacentral:rRNA from 1 species
UGAGCCUACGGGACGCAGCAGUGGGGGAUAUUGCACAAUGGGGGAAACCCUGAUGCAGCGACGCCGCGUGAGCGAUGAAGUAUUUCGGUAUGUAAAGCUCUAUCAGCAGGGAAGAAAAUGACGGUACCUGACUAAGAAGCCCCGGCUAACUACGUGCCAGCAGCCGCGGUAAUACGUAGGGGGCAAGCGUUAUCCGGAUUUACUGGGUGUAAAGGGAGCGUAGACGGCAGUGCAAGUCUGAAGUGAAAGGCAAGGGCUCACCCCUUGGACUGCUUUGGAAACCGUGCUGAUGGAUUGUCGGAGAG